AGAGUUUGAUCAUGGCUCAGGACGAACGCUGGCGGCGCGCUUAACACAUGCAAGUCGAGCGAGAACCAGGACUUCGGUCCUGGGGACAGCGGCGAACGGGUGGGUAACACGUGGAUAACCUGCCCUCGGCACCGGGAUAGCCCGGGGAAACCCGGAUUAAUACCGGAUGGCCCUUCCGGCUCACGAGCCGGUCGGAAAAGGUAGCUUCGGCCUCCGGCCGAGGAUGGGUCCGCGGCGGAUUAGCUUGUUGGUGGGGUAACGGCCUACCAAGGCUCCGAUCCGUAGCUGGUCUGAGAGGACGAUCAGCCACACUGGGACUGAGACACGGCCCAGACUCCUACGGGAGGCAGCAGUGGGGAAUCUUGCGCAAUGGGCGAAAGCCUGACGCAGCGACGCCGCGUGAGGGAGGAAGGCCUUCGGGUUGUAAACCUCUUUCAGGAGGGACGAAGCUACUCGGGUUAAUAGCCCAGAGGGUGACGGUACCUCCAGAAGAAGCCCCGGCUAACUACGUGCCAGCAGCCGCGGUAAUACGUAGGGGGCAAGCGUUGUCCGGAUUUACUGGGCGUAAAGAGCGUGUAGGCGGCCAAACAGGUCCGUUGUGAAAACUGGAGGCUUAACCUCCAGACGUCGACGGAAACCGUGUGGCUAGAGUCCGGAAGAGGAGAGUGGAAUUCCUGGUGUAGCGGUGAAAUGCGCAGAUAUCAGGAAGAACACCAAUGGCGAAGGCAGCUCUCUGGGACGGUACUGACGCUGAGAGCGAAAGCGUGGGGAGCGAACAGGAUUAGAUACCCUAGUAGUCC
rnacentral:rRNA from 1 species